GUGGCCUUAGUGUAGCGGUAACACAAGAGUUUGUGGCACUCUUAUCACGGGUUCAAAUCCCGUAGGUCACC
rnacentral:tRNA from 1 species